rnacentral:lncRNA from 1 species
GUUACCCCCGGGGGGGGCUUGUUACCCCUGGAGGGGGUCGUUACCCCCAGGGGGGGGUCGUUACCAGGUGUCGCUGGAGGCAGCGGAGGCUGUGGCCGUAUUUGAGGCAGAACUCGCAGAGGUAGAGGACGGGCAGCGCCGUCAGCUCCUGCGGGUAGGGCGAGAAGUACCAGGGCUUGAGGCGAUGGCGGCCCAGCUCGAUGCACUCGAUGUUCUUCAUCCGCGUCACGAUGUCGUCGUGGCUGCGGUCCGACACCAGGCUGCCCGUCAUGCGCGGCGCCGACGGCGCGCCGUCCGAGGAGUCCUGCGAGUCCUGGGGUGGGGGGGAAAAGGAGGCACCCAGGGGUGAGGCCCGCACCCAGGGGUGAGGCCCGCACCCAGUCCCAGAAGCCCCUGUCUUUAUUUUCCUGUGUUUUAGGCGUUUUUGCCUUGUUUUUGCCUUGUUUUUGCCUCCGUUUCCCCAUGUCAAGGCCUUUUUGCGUUACUUUUGCCUCAGUUUCCCCAUGCCGAGGCUUUUUUGCAUUGCUUUUGCCUCAGUUUCCCCAUUUUGAGGCCUUCUCCCCUCAAUUUUGCAUUGCUUUUGCCUCGGUUUCCCCAUUUUGAGGCCUUCUCCCCUUAUUUUUGCAUUGCUUUUGCCUCGGUUUCCCCAUUUUGAGGCCUUUUCCCCUCAUUUUUGCGUUGCUUUUGCCUCGGUUUCCCCAUUUUGAGGCCUUUUCCCCUCAUUUUUGUGUUGCUUUUGCCUCGGUUUCCCCAUUUCAAGGCUUUCUCCCUCAAUUUUCCCUUGUUUUUGCCUCAGUUUCCCCAUUUCAAAGCCUCAUUCCCUCAUUUUCGCGUUGCUUCUGCCUCGUUUUCUCCAUUUUGAGGCUUUUUUCCCUCAUUUUUUCCCUGCUUUGGUCUCAGUUUCCCUAUUUUAAGGCAUUUUCUCCUGUUUUUGCCUCAGUUUCCCCAUUUCAAGGUUUAUUCCCCAUGUUUUCUUCCUGCUUUUGCCUCAGUUUCCCCAUUUUGAGGCCUUUUCCCCUAAUUUUUGCGUUGCUUCUGCCUCAGUUUCCCAAUUUCAAAGCUUUUUUCCCCAUGUUUUCUUCCUGCUUUUGCUUCAGCUUCUCCAUUUCAAGGCUUUCUCCCUCAUUUUUGCCUUGUUUUUGCCUCAGUUUCCCCAUUUCAAGGCAUUUUCCGCCUGCCUUUGCCCCAGUUUCCCCAUUUUGAGGCUUCUUUUCCCCUCAUUAUUGCCUCGUUU